CGGGUAGGUAACGACGUGAGGAACCGUACGCCUUUCAGAGGGGGACAACAGCUGGAAACGGCUGCUAAUACCGCAUAACAUAUAGGUAUCGCAUGGUGUCUAUAUCAAAGAUUUAUCGCUGAAAGAUGGCCUCGCGUCUGAUUAGCUAGUUGGUAGGGUAACGGCCUACCAAGGCGACGAUCAGUAGCCGGACUGAGAGGUUGGCCGGCCACAUUGGGACUGAGAUACGGCCCAGACUCCUACGGAAGGCAGCAG
rnacentral:rRNA from 1 species